UACGGGGGGGAGCAAGCGUUGUUCGGAUUUACUGGGCGUAAAGGGCGCGUAGGCGGUCAGCACAAGUCACUUGUGAAAUCUCCGGGCUUAACUCGGAACGGUCAAGUGAUACUGUCGUGCUAGAGUACAGAAGGGGCAACUGGAAUUCUCGGUGUAGCGGUGAAAUGCGCAGAUAUCGGGAGGAACACCAAUGGCGAAGGCAGCACUCUGGGACGGUACUGACGCUGAGACGCGAAAGCGUGGGGAGCAAACAGG
rnacentral:rRNA from 1 species